GAUGAACGCUGGCGGCGUGCCUAAUACAUGCAAGUCGAGCGAACAGACGAGGAGCUUGCUCCUCUGACGUUAGCGGCGGACGGGUGAGUAACACGUGGAUAACCUACCUAUAAGACUGGGAUAACUUCGGGAAACCGGAGCUAAUACCGGAUAAUAUAUUGAACCGCAUGGUUCAAUAGUGAAAGACGGUUUUGCUGUCACUUAUAGAUGGAUCCGCGCCGCAUUAGCUAGUUGGUAAGGUAACGGCUUACCAAGGCGACGAUGCGUAGCCGACCUGAGAGGGUGAUCGGCCACACUGGAACUGAGACACGCUCCAGACUCCUACGGGAGGCAGCAGUAGGGAAUCUUCCGCAAUGGGCGAAAGCCUGACGGAGCAACGCCGCGUGAGUGAUGAAGGUCUUCGGAUCGUAAAACUCUGUUAUUAGGGAAGAACAAAUGUGUAAGUAACUAUGCACGUCUUGACGGUACCUAAUCAGAAAGCCACGGCUAACUACGUG
rnacentral:rRNA from 1 species